rnacentral:rRNA from 1 species
AAUUGAACUCGCUGUGAAGAUGCAGUGUACCCGCGGCAAGACGGAAAGACCCCGUGAACCUUUACUAUAGCUUGACACUGAACAUUGAGCCUUGAUGUGUAGGAUAGGUGGGAGGCUUUGAAGUGUGGACGCCAGUCUGCAUGGAGCCGGCCUUGAAAUACCACCCUUUAAUGUUUGAUGUUCUAACGUGGACCCGUGAUCCGGGUUGCGGACAGUGUCUGGUGGGUAGUUUGACUGGGGCGGUCUCCUCCUAAAGAGUAACGGAGGAGCACGAAGGUUGGCUAAUCCUGGUCGGACAUCAGGAGGUUAGUGCAAUGGCAUAAGCCAGCUUGACUGCGAGCGUGACGGCGCGAGCAGGUGCGAAAGCAGGUCAUAGUGAUCCGGUGGUUCUGAAUGGAAGGGCCAUCGCUCAACGGAUAAAAGGUACUCCGGGGAUAACAGGCUGAUACCGCCCAAGAGUUCAUAUCGACGGCGGUGUUUGGCACCUCGAUGUCGGCUCAUCACAUCCUGGGGCUGAAGUAGGUCCCAAGGGUAUGGCUGUUCGCCAUUUAAAGUGGUACGCGAGCUGGGUUUAGAACGUCGUGAGACAGUUCGGUCCCUAUCUGCCGUGGGCGCUGGAGAACUGAGGGGGGCUGCUCCUAGUACGAGAGGACCGGAGUGGACGCAUCACUGGUGUUCGGGUUGUCAUGCCAAUGGCACUGCCCGGUAGCUAAAUGCGGAAGAGAUAAGUGCUGAAAGCAUCUAAGCACGAAACUUGCCCCGAGAUGAGUUCUCCCUGACCCUUUAAGGGUCCUGAAGGAACGUUGAAGACGACGACGUUGAUAGGCCGGGUGUGUAAGCGCAGCGAUGCGUUGAGCUAACCGGUACUAAUGAACCGUGAGG